GUAGGUAGCAAUAUGUAUAUUUAUUUCUAUGAACUAACAUCUACCCUUAGUAUGCAUGAUUCACUCUCAUAUCUUAUUCUACUUCUAUUCCAGUCUUUGUGUUCUGUUGAAAGAAUUUUUUUUUUUUAAACGUAAUUCCUCUCCCACUGUGUUGGCUUCAGGUUGUUAUUAGCAGAACUCUGGAGCCAUACUACCUUAACCAACCCAAUUUUCCUGGUGUUCUGCUAUUACACUAGGGCUCUUGGCAUCGUGUUUUCAGGGACUGCCUCAGAUUGUGCAAUUAAGUGAAGUGGAAAUUUAAAAACUUUUAUUCUACCCAUUCUUUCAUCUGCCGUCUAGGCAGGCUACAAACCUCCCCAACAUCCCUGCCGCUAACCCCCUUUAACUGACACUGCAAGUGUCAAAAAACAAGUACCAGCUCAACACAGCCUUCAGUCUCACCCUGGGCUUUCUCUGUUUUGUUAUGUAGAUUUUGUUGCUGAUACUGUUUUUUUUUACUUUCUAUUUCCAUUGUGUAAUUUUCCAGGUUUGACUUGGGAAGCAGAGCACAGCAGCCCUAUUUUGUUGUAAUGUUGGCGGCUACAGGAAUGGGUAUGAAGUGAGUUCUCUUCCACUGAUCUUGGUCACGUACUCCAAGACUUUCUUCUUGCUGGUUUCAGCAUGGGCCCUUGGACCCCACAGGAACUCAUAGCAUGCAGGAUCACUUCUGGGCACCUGCCAGUACUCCAGUGCUCCUCUAGGGCCUCCUUGGGUUCCUGUCCUCCUGGUCAGCCUGUCCCCUGAGAAUCUGAAGAGAAGUGAGACAGCUCCUGAAGUUACAGCCAGCCAGCAGAGGCCAAGGCUCCAACACUGAUGGUAGGGCCGGUGGGGCUGGGCGCUGUGGAGUCCCAUCCAUUAUGGGUGG
rnacentral:lncRNA from 1 species